UUCAUGAUCCUUCUUUUAAGAGCUGCAUGGAUUUGGAGUCUUAUCCUCACUAGAAGAGAGGAAUGCACCCAAUGGAAAAGAGGAGAGCAACCAAAGUCUAAGCUAAGAGCAUAGUUUCAUAAAGUAUUUCCUCUGGCAUUCAUAGUUUUUGUGGACACACCUGAUACCUGAAAAAAACAAUCUGAGAAAAUCUAGGCUGUAACCAGCUCCCCGUUACCCUCAAUGAUAUCAUGGUGAAUAUCUUAGUGCAUGAUGCUUCAUGAAUUUAUGUGAAAGCUUCUCUGGGUUUACUCAGGUAGGCUAGGAAAUUAGACAAAAACAUACUUAAUUUUUGUCAGAAAGUCUAGAUUGUUUUUGUUCUAAAGAGCCCCUUUUCCUAUUACAAUGUUCUUUUUUUAAGCAAUCUUUGGAACUUUGAAAAAUUGUUUUAAAGCUUU
rnacentral:lncRNA from 1 species